rnacentral:lncRNA from 1 species
UUUUUUUUUUUUUUUUUUUUGUGUGUGUGUACUGGAUUUUGUUUUUUCCUUUUUUCAAGUUAAUAUUCCAGGCCAGCCUAAGGGGUGCCAGCCACAGUUUGUUUUUUCUUUUUCCUUCUUUCUUUAAAUAAAAUAAAUAAUAAUAAUUAUGAUAAGUUUAAUUUUGGGGAGUGAGGACCAAUUUUCGGAGAAGGAAGCAGAGGGUCAGUUAUGGAAAUUGAGUUUGAGCAGCACCGUAUCCGUGUGGUACGUUUCACAAGAUCGAGACGUUCAGAUAAUUUAAGUAAUAAUAAUAACAAUAAUAAAAUUGUUGUUAUUAUUAUGUCACAGUUUUAGGGUUUCUUUCUUACUUUACGGGGGAGGAAAGGACUGUGAUUUUUUUUAAGGCAGUAAAAGGGUCCAGGUGGCAGCCUCGUAGAAGGUAAAUAAAUAGGAGAAGAGGUGCCACGUGAGCUGCAAGUCGUGGUCCGUGGAACUGGUGGGGUUAAUAUCGUGUAAAGAGUGGGGCCAAACCGAAGUUGGCACGUGGGAUUCGAAAAAUAUUUAUAAAAUAAAAUGGUGGUG